CACAGAAAGGAAAAUAAUCACUGCCUGGGCCAGCCCCGUGCUCCCUGAGCCAUCGCUUCUGAUGCAGCCUCCGCGGUCAUAGGCCAUGCCAAGCCAGGAGACCGAUGCCACGUUGUGCUAACACCCCACCACAGGGGAUACAGGUGAUGGGGGCAGACGGAGCUCUCGCUCCAGACACACACUGAACAAUCUGCAGAACAAACUCCCACCCCCACCCCUUGCCAGGAGCAUCCCCCGGCGCUCCCACCCACCCGCUUGGCACAGCUAGGGAAGAAGGUGCAAAUGAACAAAGCCCAGAGACUCUCUCCACAUCUCCCUUCCCCCAGCCCCUGUAAUUAAAGCUCUGCUUUCAAUCAUUAAUGUA